rnacentral:lncRNA from 1 species
UCAAAACCCAGACAGAAACGUCCAACAAACUCCCAGUCCAGGAGCGCUGCAAAACCAACGCCAUAUCUAGGGACCUCAGAUCCUUUACAUGUGUUAUCUGGACUGAAUGGAGAAACCCAAGACCCACCAUGGUGGAGGGACAACUGAAGUCCUUAGUGACCCGUCUAGUUUGGGGUCUCUAUAAUCCUGCUCCUUUGGCUGCCAGCCAUCUCCAUAAAAAAAGAAUUUGAAAGGCUUCCAUUCUUUCAGAGACCUGUUUCCCGGGACUGGCUUGAAAGGAUUGGGAGGAAGAAUGAAAAGAUACCUUUCCUUUAGACAUUUCUAAGCUUGCAAAUGCACAGGCAAUGAGAACCACCUCUCUUCACUCCCUGGCAUUUGAGGCUUUUUACGUAAAAAUUUAAACUAAUGAUUAUAUUAGAAAUUUUUAAAUGUUUAAAAAAAGUAUGUUGUAAAAUUGAGGAAAUAUAGUAUUUUGAGAGUCCAAACACGUUCAUGCAGUUGAUUGAGCCUAAGUGUUGGGUUAAUCCUAGUAAGUGAUUGAUCUUUUUAGGUAGGUAAGGGAAUAAACAGAAGAUCAGAAAAGAAGAGGUACUACUAUUACAUUUUAAGUUUCCAAAUAUACUACUAAGUGUCUCUAGUAAAACUUAACUCAUUGAAGAAGAAAAUAGUCUGACUCUAAAAAAAGAGUGUGUGUUCCUGAGAAAGACUAAACCAGUUAUUUUCUCCUUUCAUGUUUGAAUGAAUAACCAUCAGCAAGGGAGAGAUGCACUGACCUUCUGCCAGGUAUAGAACUAUUGAAUGGUACAGUUUGAGAUCUUCGAAACCAUCAGGACUGAUCAUUUUCUGGCUACUUUCUACAUAGGAAUCCUAGAGUUCCUUGGAGAGGAUAUGAAGGUUAUUCUCAGGCCAUGCAGAUGGGCAAGAAAGGAUGUGCGUCCAUGGUUCCUCUUCAAAUCCAACCAAAACAGCCUUGCUUCCGUUGGCUUUAUAUAAUACUGCAACUCUUGAUAAUCUGAUUUAACACAAAUUUCCUCAUUGAGUUUCUCCUCAUGAAGAAACGGCCUCAGUGAGGUAAAUCGGAAUGCACAGGAGCACAUAGCAGGUUAGUGCAGACCAGAAAUCAAACCCAGGCUUUCUGACUGCUCAAUAGACCACAAUCUACCAUGCUACCAUGGAAACUUUAAAACAGAUGAAAGUAAAAACAAACAAACAACAACUUAAAAAAACAAAAACAAAAACAAAAGCAAAACCCAGAGCCUCUCUAGGAAAUACCAACGUGCUUUUGCCAAGUGGGGUUUCUCUCACUUCAUAAGAGCAGUAAACACUAAACCAAGGGAAUGUGAAUUUAGAGGUUAGAAAAGAUAACCAGAGAUUUGGCCGUGCGUGGGGCUCAUGCCUGUAAUCCCAGCACUUUGGGAGGCUGAGGCUGGUGGGUUGCCUGAGGUCAGGAGUUUGAGACCAGCCUGGCCAACAUAGUGAAACCCUGUCUCUACUAAAAAUACAAAAAUUAGCUGGGUGUGGUGGCGUGCACCUGUAAUCCCA